rnacentral:rRNA from 1 species
AUUGAACGCUGGCGGCAUGCUUUACACAUGCAAGUCGAACGGCAGCGCGGGCUUCGGCCUGGCGGCGAGUGGCGAACGGGUGAGUAAUGCAUCGGAACGUGCCCAGUAGUGGGGGAUAGCCCGGCGAAAGCCGGAUUAAUACCGCAUACGACCUGAGGGUGAAAGCGGGGGACCGAAAGGCCUCGCGCUAUUGAGCGGCCGAUGUCGGAUUAGCUAGUUGGUGGGGUAAAGGCUUACCAAGGCGACGAUCCGUAGCUGGUCUGAGAGGACGACCAGCCACACUGGGACUGAGACACGGCCCAGACUCCUACGGGAGGCAGCAGUGGGGAAUUUUGGACAAAGGGGGCAACCCUGAUCCAGCCAUGCCGCGUGCGGGAAGAAGGCCUUCGGGUUGUAAACCGCUUUUGUUCGGGAAGAAAUCCUCUGGGCUAAUACCCCGGGGGGAUGACGGUACCGGAAGAAUAAGCACCGGCUAACUACGUG